UGGGGAAUUUUGGACAAUGGGCGCAAGCCUGAUCCAGCCAUUCCGCGUGCAGGACGAAGGUCUUCGGGUUGUAAACUGCUUUUGUAUGGAACGAAAAGCUCUUCCCUAAUACAGAGGAGUCAUGACGGUACCGUAAGAAUAAGCACCGGCUAACUACGUGCCAGCAGCCGCGGUAAUACGUAGGGUGCAAGCGUUAAUCGGAAUUACUGGGCGUAAAGCGCGCGCAGGCGGUUUUGUAAGACGGAGGUGAAAUCCCCGGGCUCAACCUGGGAACUGCAUUCGUGACUGCAGAGCUGGAGUGCGGCAGAGGGGGAUGGAAUUCCGCGUGUAGCAGUGAAAUGCGUAGAUAUGCGGAGGAACACCGAUGGCGAAGGCCAUCCCCUGGGCCUACACUGACGCUCAUGCACGAAAGCGUGGGGAGCAAACA
rnacentral:rRNA from 1 species